rnacentral:hammerhead_ribozyme from 1 species
GUACUUCUGUAGAGUCCCAAACUGGGACGAAACAGCUGUCCAGUAC